GUGCCAUCUCAGCAGCUCACGGUGUGGAAACUGCGACACUCACACGGGUGCCAUCUCAGCAGCUCACGGUGUGGAAACUGCGACACCAGCUCAGCUCACAGAGCUCCCCUCGGCCAUGUCCUCCACCUGCCCUUCCUUGGUCCAGCACCUCACCUGCACACACCUGUCUGGAGAGUCCCCAAGGUUGGAGAGCUGCUGAGUCAGCUGGGCCGAGCACACAGCGCAACACUUCCUUGUGCCUCCUAACCAGGAUGGGCGACACCAGCCCAUUUUAUGGAUGGGACAAGAAGAAGCUGGGCUGACAAGCCCAACAUAGUGGAGCCAGCAACAGGCUUUUACUCUCCUCUCUGUCUCUUUGUCUCUCUCCCCCACCGCACCUCCAUCCGCUCCAUUCUCCUCUCUGCACAUCAGCUUCCCAGACAAUAU
rnacentral:lncRNA from 10 species